CCAAUAGCGUAUAUUAAAGUUGUUGCAGUUAAAAAGCUCGUAGUUGAAUUUCGGGAUCAAGGAAUCGGUCAUGCCUUGGUAUGUACUGGUUUUAUUGGUUCUCACCUUCUAAAGAACCAUAAUGUCAUUCAUUUGAUGUUAUGGGGAAUUAGGACUGUUACCUUGAAAAAAUUAGAGUGUUUAAAGCAGGCUUACGCUUGAAUACAUUAGCAUGGAAUAAUGAAAUAGGACAUCAGAUUCUAUUUUGUUGGUUUCUAGGAUCGAUGUAAUGAUUAAUAGGGAUAGUUGGGGGCAUUAGUAUUCAAUUGUCAGAGGUGAAAUUCUUGGAUUUAUUGAAGACUAACUACUGCGAAAGCAUUUGCCAAGGAUGUUUUCAUUAAUCAAGAACGAAAGUUAGGGGAUCGAAGACGAUCAGAUACCGUCGUAGUCUUAACCAUAAACUAUGCCGACUAGGGAUCGGAUGAUGUUAAUUUUAUAAUGACUCAUUCGGCACCUUAC
rnacentral:rRNA from 1 species